rnacentral:lncRNA from 1 species
GUAAAGGUUGGGCAUGUUUGCUAGUCUACCUUGCCACGAAGCACAGAGGUUGACACACAGGGACUUUCCAAUUAUCCAGCAGUGGUACUGUUCCUUUACCCUCUCUUCGAUUUUUGAGAAAGUAAUCAUGUUAGGAGUCUGGCUCUCGAGAUUCGGAGGGCGGUGCCUCUUCGAUUUUGGAGCAAGCAAUCUUGUUGGGGGUGUUUUCUCGAAUGUGAGUAAAGGUUGGGCAUGUUUGCUAGUUUACCUUGCCACAAAGCACAGAGGAUGACACACAGGGACUUUCAAAUUAUCCAGCAGUGGUACUGUUCCUUUACCCUCUAUUCGAUUUUUGAGAAAGUAAUCAUGUUGGGAGUCUGGCUCUCGAGAUUCGGAGGGCGAUGCCUCUUCGAUUUUGGGGCAAGCAAUCUUGUUGGGAGUGUUUUCU